rnacentral:lncRNA from 1 species
GGCUGACACGCUGGAGGCUCAAAUCCUCCAGACACACAGAGUUACAGACAGAGAACAACUGGCGCCAUGCUGUGCGUUCCCACCCAUCUUCAGCACGUUAGGGUGAGUCAAAGGUCUUCUCUUUGUUUUCAACAAGUGAAAUUAGGUCUCGGGGAUUUAAAUGCCGAGUUAGAGCUCAGCUCAGAGAGUAAACGGGGAGACUGGAAUAUAAUCAUCUAAGUUAAAUAAUUGGAGUCAUGGGUCUCCACCGUCUCCAUACUUGACUGUGCGUUGGAAUGGCCUAGGAAGCUUAAAAAAAUGCUGAUGCCUGGGUCCCAUGCCCCAGAGAUUCUGGUAUAAGUGGACCACUAUGCAGUUUGGAUAUCUAGAUUUGUUAAAGCUCUCCAGAUGAUUCCGCUGUGCAGCUGUAGUAGAACGCCUCUCGGCUGGGGCUUCAGUUUUGAUUAUCAUAAUGAAGCGAAUUAUUGGAAUACGAUCAUGAAACUCAAAACUAGCUGCAUAUUAGAACCACCCGAGGUGAGUUUUAAGCUACUAAUACUACUGCCCGGACUCCCCUCAGAACUUCUGAUUCACUUAUAUAAUAUUUACUAUGGUCGAAGCUCUGUUCUAAAUGCAAUGUAUGUAUAUACACACAUACAAUAUAUUAUUCCUUGGCCUAAGUUCUAAGUGUGUUCUAAGUUACUGGUCUAAGCUCUGUAAUAAAUGUGUGUGUGUGUGUGUGUGUAUGCGUGUGUGUGUGUGUAUUUUUUUGCAACGAGCCUAUAAACUAGUUACUUUUAGUAGCUACCUCCAAAAUGGUUCCAAGUGAUCCUUGCUCCCUGGUACCAGGGUGUAGUCUCCUCCCACAUGGAAUCAGGGUUGAUCUUUAUGACCAAUGAAAUACAGCAGUAGUGAUGGUGUAUGACCUCAAGUCUAAGUCAUAAAAUGCAUUGCAAGUUUCAUUUGGUCUCUUGGGUGACUUUCUUUGAAGGAAGUGAGAUGGUGUGCCAUAUGGAUUCUCAAGCAGUCCAGUAAAGAGGACUCUGGGGACCGAAACCAAAACUUCCUGCCAAGGGUAAGCACCAUUUUGUCAUGCGUGUGAGCAAACCACCUUGGAAGUGGAUCCUCUAGUCCUAAUCGAGCCUUCGGAUGACUGCAGCCCUAGCCUAGAGAAACCCUGAGCUGGAAAUACCAAUCCAAGCUGCUCCUGCAUUCCCACGCAGAAAAACCAUAAAAGAUCUUAAGAAGAUCUUUAGAAAGAUCAUAUUUCAUGUUAUUUGUUAUGCAGCUUUAAGAUGACACUAUGAUUAUUAUUAUUAUUAUUAUUUUAUAGUUGGGGAAACUGAGUCAUAAGGAAGUUAAGUAACUAAGUUAAAAUUACAGAGCUAUAAAGGGUGUACUUGGGGACUAUAUUAGGUAAUUUGUUUUCAAAACCUGUUCUCUUAAAAAUGAUGCAAUGAAAUUGUUCAUGCACAUUAUCAUGUCUCGCUUGAUGGAGAAGUUACAAUGGCAAUAAUAAGCCAAAGAAAGUAGGUGCAUGCAGACAUCUUACACAUUGUGUAUGCAUUGCCAAUUGUUUCAGAAUUAUUAGACCAUCAAAAUGCUGUCCUUCCCCUAAUCAUCCUCCACUUUCUCUUCUUUCCUUUAGCACACAGCAUUGAAGGAGCUCUCGGGGGAUCAACCAUUCCAACCCUAUGGGUUUUUUUUUAACCAAUACCCCAGAACACAGUUAUGAAGUCUAUGUUGCAGAUGGGUCAACAAAUAUAUCUUCAUAUAUAAAUUUUUUUGUGCUUUAAAUUAAACCUUUAUUUAGGUUUUACAAACUUUGAGAACUAAGCAGCUGUUUAUAUUUUAAAGAAAUCCUUCUAGGCAGUGUAGAAAACAUUCAGACGUUUAAGAGGCAGUAAGACCUCUGCUCUGUGUUUACUGGGUAACUUUGGGCAAAGCACUGAAUGUCCAGUUGCCACUCAGGGAUUCUAAUUACAUUGUGCUUGGAUGGAGCCUGCACAUGGGGUUUUGUAAAGCCCUCUAUAUAAUUCAGAGUGCAUCCAGAAUUGCAAACUACUGAUAUAAUCUCUUAUAGUCUCGGUUUGGAGGUAGUAAUACGGAGCCCUUGGUGGUUUUUGUGAGGAUUAAGGAUAAGUAAUUAAGACGAAGCUCCAAGCAUGGUGUUUGGCAAAUAGCUGGUACAUGAUGGAUGCUAUCCAGGAGUAUUUGAGGUUUGUUUUAAAAAUUUUUAUUGUGUUACAUAAAGAUUCAGUACUUGCUUAGAUACAUCCAUUCAUUAUUUUUCCCUGGUGAGUCCUAAGGCUUUCAUAUUUAGAAAUCCCUUUCCCUUCAAGUGUCUUAUGAUUUCAUUUUUAUGUUUAUCCCACCUAUCUGGAAUUUACUUAAGCAUAUAAUGCAAGGUGAGGCUAGGAGUUACCUUUUUUCUAAAGAGUCCAUUUUCCCCUGACAUGCCCUAAAUCCUCUCCUUCAG